rnacentral:rRNA from 1 species
GCGUACCUACGGGGCGCAGCAGUGAGGAAUAUUGGUCAAUGGGCGCGAGCCUGAACCAGCCAAGUAGCGUGAAGGAUGACUGCCCUACGGGUUGUAAACUUCUUUUAUAAAGGAAUAAAGUGAGGCACGUGUGCCUUUUUGUAUGUACUUUAUGUAUAAGGAUCGGCUAACUCCGUGCCAGCAGCCGCGGUAAUACGGAGGAUCCGAGCGUUAUCCGGAUUUAUUGGGUUUAAAGGGAGCGUAGAUGGGUUGUUAAGUCAGUUGUGUAAGUUUGAGG